rnacentral:rRNA from 1 species
UUAAGUGACUAAGCGUACACGGUGGAUGCCUGGGCAGUCAGAGGCGAUGAAGGACGUACUAACUUGCGAUAAGCGCAGAUAAGGCAGUAAGAGCCGUUUGAGUCUGCGAUUUCCGAAUGGGGAAACCCAACUGCAUAAGCAGUUACUGUUAACUGAAUACAUAGGUUAACAGAGCAAACCGGGGGAACUGAAACAUCUAAGUACCCCGAGGAGAAGAAAUCAACCGAGAUUCCGGUAGUAGCGGCGAGCGAACCUGGAUUAGCCCUUAAGCACUCGGUGAAGUAGGUGAACAAGCUGGAAAGCUUGGCGAUACAGGGUGAUAGCCCCGUAACCGACGCUUCAUCGAGCGUGAAAUCGAGUAGGGCGGGACACGUGAUAUCCUGUCUGAAUAUGGGGGGACCAUCCUCCAAGGCUAAAUACUCCUGACUGACCGAUAGUGAACCAGUACCGUGAGGGAAAGGCGAAAAGAACCCCUGUGAGGGGAGUGAAAUAGAACCUGAAACCGUGUACGUACAAGCAGUAGGAGCACCUUCGUGGUGUGACUGCGUACCUUUUGUAUAAUGGGUCAGCGACUUAUAUUCAGUGGCAAGGUUAACCGUAUAGGGGAGCCGUAGCGAAAGCGAGUCUUAACUGGGCGCUCAGUCUCUGGAUAUAGACCCGAAACCGGGUGAUCUAGCCAUGGGCAGGUUGAAGGUUGAGUAACAUCAACUGGAGGACCGAACCGACUAAUGUUGAAAAAUUAGCGGAUGACUUGUGGCUAGGGGUGAAAGGCCAAUCAAACUCGGAGAUAGCUGGUUCUCCCCGAAAGCUAUUUAGGUAGCGCCUCGGACGAAUACUACUGGGGGUAGAGCACUGUUAAGGCUAGGGGGUCAUCCCGACUUACCAACCCUUUGCAAACUCCGAAUACCAGUAAGUACUAUCCGGGAGACACACGGCGGGUGCUAACGUCCGUCGUGGAGAGGGAAACAACCCAGACCGCCAGCUAAGGUCCCAAAGUAUUGCUAAGUGGGAAACGAUGUGGGAAGGCUCAGACAGCUAGGAUGUUGGCUUAGAAGCAGCCAUCAUUUAAAGAAAGCGUAAUAGCUCACUAGUCGAGUCGGCCUGCGCGGAAGAUGUAACGGGGCUAAGCAAUACACCGAAGCUGCGGCAAUGUCUUUUAGACAUUGGGUAGGGGAGCGUUCUGUAAGCCGUUGAAGGUGAAUCGUAAGGUUUGCUGGAGGUAUCAGAAGUGCGAAUGCUGACAUGAGUAACGACAAAGGGGGUGAAAAACCUCCUCGCCGGAAGACCAAGGGUUCCUGUCCAACGUUAAUCGGGGCAGGGUGAGUCGACCCCUAAGGUGAGGCCGAAAGGCGUAAUCGAUGGGAAACGGGUUAAUAUUCCCGUACUUCUGACUAUUGCGAUGGGGGGACGGAGAAGGCUAGGUGGGCCAGGCGACGGUUGUCCUGGUUCAAGUGCGUAGGCUUGAGAGUUAGGUAAAUCCGGCUCUCUCUAAGGCUGAGACACGACGUCGAGCUACUACGGUAGUGAAGUCAUUGAUGCCAUGCUUCCAGGAAAAGCCUCUAAGCUUCAGAUAGUCAGGAAUCGUACCCCAAACCGACACAGGUGGUCGGGUAGAGAAUACCAAGGCGCUUGAGAGAACUCGGGUGAAGGAACUAGGCAAAAUGGUACCGUAACUUCGGGAGAAGGUACGCUCUUGAUGGUGAAGUCCCUCGCGGAUGGAGCUGACGAGAGUCGCAGAUACCAGGUGGCUGCAACUGUUUAUUAAAAACACAGCACUGUGCAAAAUCGCAAGAUGACGUAUACGGUGUGACGCCUGCCCGGUGCCGGAAGGUUAAUUGAUGGGGUUAGCGCAAGCGAAGCUCUUGAUCGAAGCCCCGGUAAACGGCGGCCGUAACUAUAACGGUCCUAAGGUAGCGAAAUUCCUUGUCGGGUAAGUUCCGACCUGCACGAAUGGCGUAAUGAUGGCCACGCUGUCUCCACCCGAGACUCAGUGAAAUUGAAAUCGCUGUGAAGAUGCAGUGUACCCGCGGCUAGACGGAAAGACCCCGUGAACCUUUACUACAGCUUGGCACUGAACAUUGAACCUACAUGUGUAGGAUAGGUGGGAGGCUAUGAAGACGUGACGCCAGUUGCGUUGGAGCCGUCCUUGAAAUACCACCCUUGUAUGUUUGAUGUUCUAACUUAGACCCGUU